UUAAAGUUUUAUUAUUGCUUUUUAUUUAGAUUGAUUAUUUAGUAAAUAUAAAUUUAUAUUGAUUAAUAAAGAGUAUUAUUUAAUUUUAAUUUAAGUUUAAUUGAUGUAUUAGAAAUAAAUUUUAAUAGUAGUGAAAAUUGUGCCAGCAACUGCGGUUAAACAAUUGCUAUAAUUAAAUAAAUUUUAUAUUUUAAUUAUUUGAAUUUUUUAUUUUAUAUAAUUAAUUUAAGGUGAAAUUUUGUUAUUUAUAGUAUUUAUAAUUGUUAAGAUAUUAAUUUAAAUAGGUUAAUAAACUAGGAUUAGAUACCCUAUUAUUCCUAAAAAAAGUAAUAUAAGGUAGUAAAUGAUAAAGUCAGGAAACUUAAAUAAUUUGGCGGUGGCUAAUCUAAUUAGAGGAAUAUGUUUUAUAAAUGAUGAUCCCCAAUAAUCUUACUUAAUUAGGAGUUUUGUAUAUCUCCGUCUAAAAGAAUUUUUUUAAAAUAUAUUUUAAAUUAUUUAAAUAAUAUUAAGUCAGGUCAAGGUGCAGAUUUUAAUUAAGGAGAAAUGUAUUACAGUAAAUUUAUUUAUGGAAUUAAUCUGGAAUGUUUAAAGAAAUUGGAUUUAAUAGUAAAUUUAUUUAUAUUAUAAUAAUUUGAAUAUUGAAAAUAGCCAUGCACAUAUUGCCCGUCAUUCUCUUCAAGAGACAAGUCGUAACAAAGUAGAUUUACUGGAAGGUAAAUCUGUAUUCGA
rnacentral:ncRNA from 1 species